rnacentral:rRNA from 1 species
CGCGUAGGCGGUUUCGGAAGUCAUGGGUGAAAGUCCUCGGCUCAACCGAGGGAUUGCCUGUGAAACCACGGGACUGGAGUGCUGGAGAGGGAAGUGGAAUUCCCAGUGUAGCGGUGAAAUGCGUAGAUAUUGGGAGGAACACCGGUGGCGAAGGCGGCUUCCUGGACAGACACUGACGCUGAGGCGCGAAAGCCAGGGGAGCGAACG